CCUACGGGAGGCAGCAGUGGGGAAUUUUGGACAAUGGGCGCAAGCCUGAUCCAGCCAUUCCGCGUGCAGGAUGAAGGCCUUCGGGUUGUAAACUGCUUUUGUACGGAGCGAAAAGGCUCUCUCUAAUACAGGGGGCUCAUGACGGUACCGUAAGAAUAAGCACCGGCUAACUACGUGCCAGCAGCCGCGGUAAUACAUAGGGUGCAAGCGUUGUCCGGAAUUAUUGGGCGUAAAGAGCUCGUAGGUGGUUCGUUACGUCGGAUGUGAAAACCUGAGGCUCAACCUCAGGCCUGCAUUCGAUACGGGCGAACUUGAGUGUGGUAGGGGAGGCUGGAAUUCCUGGUGUAGCGGUGGAAUGCGCAGAUAUCAGGAGGAACACCAAUGGCGAAGGCAGGCCUCUGGGCCACUACUGACACUGAGGAGCGAAAGCGUGGGGAGCAAACAGGAUUAGAUACCCUGGUAGUCCACGCUGUAAACGGUGGGCACUAGUUGUGGGAACCUUCCACGGUUUCUGCGACGUAGCAAACGCAUUAAGUGCCCCGCCUGGGGAGUACGAUCGCAAGAUUAAAACUCAAAGGAAUUGACGG
rnacentral:rRNA from 1 species